CUCGUAGGCGGUUUGUCGCGUCUGCUGUGAAAACUCGGAGCUUAACUCCGGGCUUGCAGUGGGUACGGGCAGACUAGAGUGCGGUAGGGGAGACUGGAAUUCCUGGUGUAGCGGUGAAAUGCGCAGAUAUCAGGAGGAACACCGGUGGCGAAGGCGGGUCUCUGGGCCGUAACUGACGCUGAGGAGCGAAAGCGUGGGGAGCGAACA
rnacentral:rRNA from 1 species